GUCCACGCUGUAAACGAUGAACACUAGGUGUCGUGGGUAUUGACCCCCGCGGUGCCGCAGCUAACGCAUUAAGUGUUCCGCCUGGGAAGUACGGUCGCAAGACUAAAACUCAAAGGAAUUGACGGGGGCCCCGCACAAGCGGUGGAGCAUGUGGUUUAAUUCGACGCAACGCGCAGAACCUUACCUGGGCUGGAAAGUCAUCGGAAGCCUGAUGAAAGUUGGGUGUGCCCGCAAGGGAGCCGGUGGACAGGUGCUGCAUGGCUGUCGU
rnacentral:rRNA from 1 species